rnacentral:rRNA from 1 species
CACUGCCGAGAAAAGCCUCUAGAUAGAAAAUAGGUGCCCGUACCGCAAACCGACACAGGUAGUCAAGAUGAGAAUUCUAAGGUGAGCGAGCGAACUCUCGUUAAGGAACUCGGCAAAAUGACCCCGUAACUUCGGGAGAAGGGGUGCUCUUUAGGGUUAACGCCCAGAAGAGCCGCAGUGAAUAGGCCCAAGCGACUGUUUAUCAAAAACACAGGUCUCUGCUAAACCGUAAGGUGAUGUAUAGGGGCUGACGCCUGCCCGGUGCUGGAAGGUUAAGAGGAGUGGUUAGCUUCUGCGAAGCUACGAAUCGAAGCCCCAGUAAACGGCGGCCGUAACUAUAACGGUCCUAAGGUAGCGAAAUUCCUUGUCGGGUAAGUUCCGACCCGCACGAAAGGCGUAACGAUUUGGGCACUGUCUCAACGAGA